ensembl:lncRNA
GGAUGGAACACCUCUUCUGCAAUGAUAGGAUGAGAGAGCUGGGACUGUUCAGCCUGGAGAAGAGGAGCCUCCAAGAAGACCUGACAGUGGACUUCCAGUAUCUAAAGGGGUCUAUCAGAAAGAAGUGGACAGAAUCUUUAGCAAGAUAUGUUGUGACAGGACGAGGGGAAGUACUUUCAAACUAAGAGGAGAGAUUUAGAUUGGAUAUAAGGAAUCGAUGAGGCACUGGCACAGGUUGCCCAGAGAGGUGGUGGAUGCCCUGUCCCUGGAGACACUCAAGUUGGUCAGGCUGAAUGGGAUCUGAGCACCUGAUGGGGCUGUAGGUGUCCCUUUUCAUUGCAUGGGGGUUGAACUAGACGGCCUUUAAGUGUCCCCUCCAAAUCAAACAGUUUUAUGAUUCUAUAAAGUCUAUUUUUGAUUGCUUCACCUCUGUAGACAAUUGACAUAGAUGCACCACAAGCCAAACUAAAGGUAGCAAGAUGAAAUCUUGGGAUUGCAGCUGUCAAUGGCAACAUUACAGUGUCCAGAGAAGAGCAGAGGAUUUAGGAGGAGGCCUAGCUGCUCCAGCCCUUUGGGAUGAAUGUGUGGAUGAAUGUCUGGGUGCCUCACAGCAGCAAACAUCUAAGUUGUGGCUACAAAAUCAAUGAUGAGUCUGGAGAGGAAGAUGUAAGAGGGGCAGCUGAGGUCCCAGGCCCAGAGCAGAGGAGAUGAGGGGAGGCCUCAUGGCAGCUACGGCAGCACUGAACUCUGCUCUCUGUGACAGCGACAGGGCCUGAAGGAAUGGCAUGGGGCUGUGUCAGGGGAAGGACAGCUGAGGGUUAGGGAAAGGGUGUGCACCAGAGGGCAGUGGGCAUGGAACGGGCUGCCCAGGGCAGUGGGCAUGGCCCUGAGCUGCUGGAGUUCAAGGAGUUUUGGAACACUGCUCUCAGAUGGGUGCUGUAUGGGUGCUAUGCUCAGAUACGUGGUAUUGUGAAUACUGUUAUAACGAAAGGCCAUAGGGCCUCAUCCAGAGGUCCCUUCUGGCCACAGAGACAUGCAGCUGAGGAUACAAGCACAGCUCCAUGCCCCAGGAUGGUUGCAGAUAACCACAGAUGUGCCGCACUGGCAUUGCAUUGACAUCUGGCACAUGGGCUGCACACUCAGCUCUGCUGCUCUCAGCCCCACUUCCUUCCAGGCUGUAAGUAUGCCAGCUCAGCAUUUUAUGGCUUAUUACUAAAGUAAUGGUGUUAUUUAUAUAAAAUGAAGUUGUGCAUUGACAUUUUCAGCAUCUGCAAAUAACCCCUUGUGUAAACAGCAGCAUAAUCCUGUGAAUAUACACAUCCCACUCCUUUACACUCAGUGUUUUGACAAAUCUUGCUGGGUUUGCUGCAGUUGGUGUCAGGGAGGAUUUACACGUGAAUUUGAGUGUAAACACAUGUGGUUAAUGGCCUGCUGAGUUGCUCAGACUUGUUACUGGUGAAAGUCUCUUCAAUCCUUUUUUUUGCCAUGCAUGGAGGAGGGCAGAAUCCUUCUCAGCAUUCAUGUUGGUGUGGACACAAGUCUGUCCUGGCUCUCAUUUGAACACAUGGGCUCACUAAUUGGGUUGUAGAGCUUGGACAAAGUGAACCAUGCAGGUCUCCUGUACACACCUGGUCCCAAUGGUGAUGGGCACCCGUCUGCAUUCCUCUGUUCACGCAUCCAUGUGGUGAGGGUUCAAGAGGCAUGGCUACAAACACACCCAGCUUUAUGGGGUAGGUUUCACCAAUGGAGCUCAGCAAAAAUUUCACAGAGGGAAAAAAACGAGGCAGGAAAAUGUCAGCCUGACGUGGGCCAGGGUCUGCGAUCCAAAUGGGAUGCACCUAGGCCAGGUUGGUUCCACAAUGGGGACCUGGAAGAAAAUGCUACUGGCUAGGAUUCUGUAGGUAUUUCAGACUUGAUCUUGACCUUAUCUUACCAGCAAAGUGUUUCUUGGGUUAAGAUUUCUAGGUUUUAAAAGUUUGCUACAAAUGCUAAACAAAUGAAAAAAAAAAUGGAUUACUGAAGUUGAAAACAAAAUCAGUAUUAAAAUAUUAGUAUUGCACUGACUGUUAACUAGCACAUACAUAUUGUCUACAUAUAGACUGGAAUCUGGAGGAAAGAGGGUGCCCAUUUUACCUUUCAUGUUUAGCCCAGGCAUCUUUGUGUCUGUUCACCAUUUUCUGAUCCCUCAGAAUAAUGCUUGGUGCAAUGACCUCUAUUUGCUAGUAUUUCAGCUUUUACACUUCUUCCUUUUCUCUUUCCCCUCUGCCAGUCUGUUGUAAUUAGGAUUUAAUAUAUCCUGCAGUAUAUAUGGGCACCACAAAGCAAUGAAUAUUCUUUUAUUUUCCCAUUUUCACUAACCAAAUCCAGUCUGCAGUGUGAUUUCCAUCUGAGUUGAUCUAUGCUUUGGUGAGAGGAGUAAUAAAUAACACUUUAGAGCAGACUUCAAAAUGCCUUUUUUUCUUUGAUCUGAGUAAUUAAGGAGUCAAGUUGCUGUUCCUAAGCAUUUUCUGAUUGAAUUACACAAGUUACACAGCUCUUCAUUUGUACGUCAUUAAACAUUAUGUUUUAUUGCUGCUGUUCAAACAAUUAGUACCUAAAUAUGCCCCAUAUUCUCAUAAAGAGGCGGUAGCAGUGCUGAUGUUAAUGCCCUGAUUAACAGUUUGUUCCCAUACAGAGUCCACCAUCAUGCCUGAAUGCCAUUUAAUGUCAAUCAGAUCUUUACUGAUGCCCUUCUGAAGUCAUUCUCUUCUGCAGCCAUUUAACUGCACAGCAAAGUGAGGAUAAGUCAAACAAGAAAGUUAACUAAAAAUGGCAUUUCUUUUAACACAGGAAUUUUUUAAAGUUCAUUACAAGUUUUGGUUAUAAAAAGGCCACUGCUUCGUGGUGAUCAGUCAUUCUGACAUUUUUAUGGUGUUUUUAUUACCCCUGGCUCAUUUCCAUACUAAAGGGAACAUUUGUAACAAUACUUGCUCUCUCUGUUAUGAUUAGGAUUGUGCUUUGUUGGGCUGUUGCUGCGCUCAAUAAUGCUCUUGGCACACGUCCUCCCAGACCCUGCGGUGUGUUUAUUCAAAGGGAAGGAAAAAGAAGUGUCUACUAAAACAAUAAACUACUACUGCUUGCGUUAACGUGGCCAUAACUUCCUUGUUCUGCAGACAAUCAGUUAGCAAAGCUGUUAGGUAAACUUGCUCCUUCACUGUUGAAAAAAUAAAUAUUCAUGAAUCUUGCAGCCACAUUUUUCCAUGUUUUAUAAUGGAGUCAAAGACGAUGAAGGAUUUUGGAGCUAAUAAUUUAACCAGAGAGAUAAGGAUGGGGGCCCAGAUCCUGAAAACAGUGGGAGCUGGGAUCCUAAAUUGUACUGGCUUUUAAGACCUCGGCCUGCUUUACGGUGAUUUAAAGGGCAUCUGUGAUUUUACCCACCAAGUGUCUUCUGCUGUGUGAAGCGAAUGCUGCAUGGAGUUUACAAGUGCUUCUCUAUGACAUCUGGAUCUCGGAGCUCACAGGGAAAACCACCCUCACCCACCCUGCAGGAGGAGCACAAUGGCACAAUGGCACCCUCUGUUGCCCUGCGCGCUGCUCCCACGUGGAUGUAUGAACUCCUGAAAGUAUCCAUUCCCCAUCUCCAAAUCUCAUCUCUUCCCGCCGAGCUUCCUUGUUUGUUUGGAGUUAUCCUGUUAUUUCCAUUUGUAAUAAAACCCGUCUUGUUCUUUUUGUGCUGAGUGGAGAAACAUCGAGAGGAUUGUCACGCUCAUUUCAUGAACAGUUGGCCUCCUGUCCCCAUUUUGUCCUCCCUAAGUGGCAGCUCCUUGCAACAGUUGUAUUAACAACUGAGCUCAGCCCUGCAAAGUGGUGGGCAUUUCCAGCGUUAACUGGAAAGCAAUUAGUCUUGAUGAGAUUGGGCUGUCCAACUCUCAGACAAUUAAUUAAAUUACAGCUUGUCUUUCAUUUGGUUAAACAAAAACUUGAUUCAUUAAUUAAAAUACACUGUGAAUCUGAUUUUUUGCUCUGAUCCUCUGUGUGUUCGUAAGCAAACAACAAGUUCCUUUUAGGAACCAAAACAAAAUUCCUUCUGGAGCAUGACAAGUUUUCACUCCUAAUCACCUUGUAUCCAUGUGAACACACUUUAAUUGCUCAUUAACACAAAGUUAGCGGGCUGACACACAACUAGCUGCUUCUUUUGGACUUCUCUAACAGUAACUUUUUUGUGUGUGUCUCGUAAGGAGACCAGACGUUUCUCAGAAUCAAUCAACUUUUUCUGUGUUUUACUUCCAUGCCAUGCUGUAAAGGAUUGUACAGUUGCCUUGCUGUAAUGUUAUUAUUCAGGACUGAUUUUACUGUGAUGGCAUAAGAGGAAUUAGACAUGUCCAUUCUAUUGUUGUUGAUAUGACUGUGCCUAUUUUCCCCAUAUGCAGUCUGAAACAAUUAUCAGAAGCAGUACAUAGAACUCAUCACUUAGAAAUGAUUACUUAGAAGUCAUUAGAUGUUGUUAAUGUGAACAGAUUUUUGUAAAAGCCACGUUUUGUGCAGGACUGGUUAUUUUUAGAUAAAAAUAUUUAAACUGAAGAAGAGAUUUCAAUUUUUCAAAUUGUGAUGUACAGGAACUCAGUGAGAAUUAAAAAUCUGACAUAAGAUCCAGUAUAAAAAAAGUAUUUCAGUGCAUCUAUUUGACAAGCACAAAUGGUCUGUAAGUAUGUUGAAUUAUAACAAAAAAUGAGUUGGAAAUAUUUGGGAUACUCUGUCUGUUCAGUUUUAAGCAGCC